rnacentral:tRNA from 1 species
CGGGUUGUGGCUCAGCUUGGUAGAGCGCUGCGUUCGGGACGCAGAGGUCGCAAGUUCAAAUCUUGUCAACCCGACCA